rnacentral:rRNA from 1 species
ACGGAAGGCAGCAGUGGGGAAUAUUGCACAAUGGGGGAAACCCUGAUGCAGCGACGCCGCGUGAGUGAAGAAGUAUCUCGGUAUGUAAAGCUCUAUCAGCAGGGAAGAAAAUGACGGUACCUGACUAAGAAGCCCCGGCUAACUACGUGCCAGCAGCCGCGGUAAUACGUAGGGGGCAAGCGUUAUCCGGAUUUACUGGGUGUAAAGGGAGCGUAGGCGGCUGAGUAAGUCAGAAGUGAAAGCCCGGGGCUCAACCCCGGGACGGCUUUUGAAACUGCCCGGCUUGAUUUCAGGAGAGGAAAGCGGAAUUCCUAGUGUAGCGGUGAAAUGCGUAGAUAUUAGGAGGAACACCAGUGGCGAAGGCGGCUUUCUGGACUGACAAUGACGCUGAGGCUCGAAAGCGUGGGGAGCAAACAGGAUUAGAUACCCUGGUA